UACAGAGGGUGCGAGCGUUGUUCGGAAUUACUGGGCGUAAAGCGCGCGCAGGCGGCCACUUAAGUCCGCUGGUGAAAGACCGGGGCUCAACCCCGUGUCAGCCAGGGAUACUGGGUGGCUGGAGACAGGUAGAGGCAAGCGGAAUUCCGGGUGUAGCGGUGGAAUGCGUAGAGAUCCGGAGGAAUACCUGAGGCGAAGGCGGCCAGCUGGGCUUGAUCUGACGCUGAGGUGCGAAAGCGUGGGGAGCGAACAGG
rnacentral:rRNA from 1 species